rnacentral:rRNA from 1 species
AUUGAACGCUGGCGGCAGGCUUAACACAUGCAAGUCGAGCGGGGUGAGGUGCUUCGGUACUGAUCCUAGCAGCGGACGGGUGAGUAAUGCUUAGGAAUCUGCCAUUUAGUGGGGGACAACAUUCCGAAAGGAAUGCUAAUACCGCAUACGUCCUACGGGAGAAAGCAGGGGAUCUUCGGACCUUGCGCUAAAUGAUGAGCCUAAGUCGGAUUAGCUAGUUGGUGGGGUAAAGGCCUACCAAGGCGACGAUCUGUAGCGGGUCUGAGAGGAUGAUCCGCAACACGGGGACUGGGACACGGCCCAGACUCCUACGGGAGGCAGCAGUGGGGAAUAUUGGACAAUGGGCGGAAGCCUGAUCCAGCCAUGCCGCGUGUGUGAAGAAGGCCUUUUGGUUGUAAAGCACUUUAAGCGAGGAGGAGGCUACCUGGAUUAAUACUCUAGGAUAGUGGACGUUACUCGCAGAAUAAGCACCGGCUAACUCUGUGCCAGCCGCCGCCGUAAGAC